GUGGCUGGUUCCAUUUUCUCAGGUUACAAGAGUGUAUGGUCAUCCACUCCUUUUGCAAAGGAUUUGAGUCUAUUCUGAAGGUUAGUGAGGCAGCUGCAACUUCUCUGCUGCAACAAGGAGAAUCCCAGACCAUGAGGCAGUAGAAAGACUAUUUAACCAGGAGUCAGGAUGCUUAAUCUGAGUCCUGGGAGGUACAAUAGUUAUCCACUCUUCACAGAUGAAGAAACUGUGGAAUAAAGAAAGUAAGUAACGAACUAAGGAAAUCAAGAGACGGAGAUGUGAAGUGACUUGGGUGCCUGGACUAAAAGAUGAAGUCUCCCUACUUUACCAUGCCUGACCAUGGCCUGGUACUUUCUCUCCUUCUGAGAAUGAUACUAUUACAUAACUGUUUGGGGAAGCCCCCAGACCAAGGACACUUCCUUCUGCCCAGCUGUGUGAGACAUUCUUGGGUGGAAUCAGGAAGAUGGCCACUUUCACAUCAACUGGGGAGGCCCAAGACCUACCUUUCUUCUCCCCACACUCCCACUGCCCACACCCUGCUCUUCGUGUGGUCUCUGCUAUUGAGCAAAGGGUGAAUGAGGGAAGUAAUCUCUGGUCUCUCUCUGGUUCUCUGCCUCAAAGAAUGUCCCAGCCAUCAUCUACCCUACACCCCUGUCCCCAAAGCACUCUUCCUUUUGCUUCUCCAUCAGUGUGGCCUCUUCUGUGAAGUUCUCUAACCAUGGGUUUCCCCAACACCUCCUCUCUAUCCACAGGCUGCCCCUCAUCAUCAUCUUCAUCUCAGAAAAUGAGACAAAAAAGACAUUCAAGUGACUCAUCAGUCCACAUAGCAGGAGCAGAAGCAGAGAGAGUGAAUCUGUAGGUCCAGAUGAGGAUUUCUGCAGGCCUCUUGACUGUUUCACAAGAUCUGCUGAGAUUCAUGACAGAUAAGAUAUAAAAAGCUGAGUGGUGCCA